ensembl:lncRNA
CCAAAUUGUUAAAAUAGGCAUGACGUUUCCUUUGCCUUGGGCAGUUGGCCUGGGCACAUUGCAGGUGCUCCAAGGCUAAAUUUUCCCGUGGUAUCCACUUGUGUUCCAUGUACCCAGUUGUCUCUACGUCAGCUCUCGCAGUUAUUAAGAGGUAGCCCAAACACUUGCCCAUGUCCACAUGUCCAAUGUAAACUCAUGAAGAGCGACUGGAGGCUAAUAUCAUGGAUAGACUGGGACUGGAAUCACAGGUGGUCAUGCACUAACCUAAUCCAGGGAUAGCAUCUGCCUCUCUCUUGCUCUGUAGGCUGACGUCCAAAACACUGCUCAUCUUCUGCUGGCCUCCAGCACCUAUACAUGGCUUACAGCAGAGGGACUUUUAAGUCCAUAACACCAAAACUAGAACAGUUCUCAGUUGGAGGUUUCCUUACCAAAGGAGCCAUACUGCUAUAGCAGAACCUUUUAAAAGUACCAUCUGCUGGAUUCUUCUGCCAUGGUCAAUUUAUUCUGGAAGUCAUGGAAGGCAGCUGGGGCCUAUCCACCCACAGUCUGGGCUCUGCUUUCUAACAAGCUCGGCAGAGCCAGUCCAUGAGGGGUCCGAUUGGAGGAUGGCUGAGCAGCCCCAGGGGGUUCACAGAGAGCACAGUUUCCCCGGGGGGACUUGUUGCCUUUGUGCUGUCCCUCAGUAGCAGCGCUGCCAGUGUCACCAGGAUCACAUCACAUGUCAGCGCGCUGAAGUUUGCAGACUGGGAGCCGCAUGGAGCCCAUCAGGUUCCUGUGAUAACCACGCAGUUGGCCCUCUACUUUGUACUGCAGCAACCAUUCAUGCCCCGAACAUUAACUGUGCUUUUGCAUGCCUGUCACACUUAAGAUUGUGCAGGCGUUCAAAGGCUUUUAAAGGGUUUUCUUUUUUCAACUUUAUUCACGCCGUCUCUCUCUCACUCAUCCAUAAAGAAAGUAAAUUGCAAUCAUAAAUAGGUUUUGAUUGCUGUAAGUUUGUUGGAUGUUUGGCAGUUUUCCUUUUUUGUGAAGUUUGGUAUGACCUCAAAUAAACCUUAACAACAUAUACACUUAAAAAAAGGCAGUGACAAACAGUAAUAUGUACAUUUAAGGUACUAAUGUACACAUUUUAGGGAUAAAAAAGGUAAGUCACAGCGUCAUUUUAGUCACACAUAAUAAAU